AUUUAUUCUCAGGGCAGGGUGUAAUUCCCUACCGGCGGUAAAUCCUCUUUAGGAAAGCCCGCGAGCGCUUCAUUUUGAAGGUCAGCAGAUCUGGUGUAAUUCCAGAGCCGACGGUGACAGUCCGGAUGGAAGAGAGUAAAU
rnacentral:ncRNA from 2 species